ACCGAACCGACUAAUGUUGAAAAAUUAGCGGAUGAUCUGUGGCUGGGGGUGAAAGGCCAAUCAAACCGGGAGAUAGCUGGUUCUCCCCGAAAGCUAUUUAGGUAGCGCCUCGUGAAUUCAUCUCCGGGGGUAGAGCACUGUUUCGGCUAGGGGGCCAUCCCGGCUUACCAACCCGAUGCAAACUGCGAAUACCGGAGAAUGUUAUCACGGGAGACACACGGCGGGUGCUAACGUCCGUCGUGAAGAGGGAAACAACCCAGACCGCCAGCUAAGGUCCCAAAGUCAUGGUUAAGUGGGAAACGAUGUGGGAAGGCCCAGACAGCCAGGAUGUUGGCUUAGAAGCAGCCAUCAUUUAAAGAAAGCGUAAUAGCUCACUGGUCGAGUCGGCCUGCGCGGAAGAUGUAACGGGGCUAAACCAUGCACCGAAGCUGCGGCAGCGAACGUAUCACCCAAGACAACUUUACGGAGUUGACGAUUGACGGAGCGAAGCGACGUCAAAGCGUUCAUUAAAGUCGAGUUGGCUUAGGGAUACGUUCGUUGGGUAGGGGAGCGUUCUGUAAGCCUGUGAAGGUGUGUCGUGAGGCAUGCUGGAGGUAUCAGAAGUGCGAAUGCUGACAUAAGUAACGAUAAAGCGGGUGAAAAGCCCGCUCGCCGGAAGACCAAGGGUUCCUGUCCAACGUUAAUCGGGGCAGGGUGAGUCGACCCCUAAGGCGAGGCCGAAAGGCGUAGUCGAUGGGAAACGGGUUAAUAUUCCCGUACUUGGUGUUACUGCGAAGGGGGGACGGAGAAGGCUAUGUUGGCCGGGCGACGGUUGUCCCGGUUUAAGCGUGUAGGUGUGUGUUCCAGGUAAAUCCGGUUCACUUUAACACUGAGGCGUGACGACGAGGCACUACGGUGCUGAAGCAACAAAUGCCCUGCUUCCAGGAAAA
rnacentral:rRNA from 1 species